rnacentral:rRNA from 1 species
AAUAGAUACCCUGGUAGUCCUAGCCGUAAACGAUGAACACUAGAUGUUGGUGGUAUCAACCCCGCCAGUGUCGUAGCUAACGCAUUAAGUGUUCCGCCUGGGGAGUACGGCCGCAAGGCUAAAACUCAAAGGAAUUGACGGGGGCCCGCACAAGCGGUGGAGCAUGUGGUUCAAUUCGACGCAACGCGAAGAACCUUACCUGGGCUCGAACGGCUUCGGACAUAUCCUGGAAACAGGGUCUUCCCGCAAGGGACCGGAGUCGAGGUGCUGCAUGGCUGUCGUCAGCUCGCGUCGUGAGAUGUUGGGUUAAGUCCCGCAACGAGCGCAACCCUUGUCCUGUGUUGCCAUCAUUAAGUUGGGCACUCUCAGGAGACCGCCAGCGAUAAGUUGGAGGAAGGCGGGGAUGAUGUCAAGUCAUCAUGGCCUUUAUGUCCAGGGCUACACACGUGCUACAAUGGGCGGUACAAUGCGCUGCCAACCCGCGAGGGGAGCUAAUCGCAAAAACCGGUCCUCAGUUCGGAUCACAGG